rnacentral:rRNA from 1 species
UACGUAGGGUGCGAGCGUUGUCCGGAAUUAUUGGGCGUAAAGAGCUCGUAGGCGGUGUGUCACGUCGGCCGUGAAAACCUGCAGCUUAACUGUGGGCGUGCGGUCGAUACGGGCAUCACUGGAGUUCGGCAGGGGAGACUGGAAUUCCUGGUGUAGCGGUGAAAUGCGCAGAUAUCAGGAGGAACACCGAUGGCGAAGGCAGUUCUCUGGGCCUUACCUGACGCUGAGGCGCGAAAGCUAGGGGAGCGAACAGG